rnacentral:rRNA from 1 species
AUUGAACGCUGGCGGCAUGCUUUACACAUGCAAGUCGAACGGUAACAGGCCGCAAGGUGCUGACGAGUGGCGAACGGGUGAGUAAUGCAUCGGAACGUGCCCAGUCGUGGGGGAUAACGCAGCGAAAGCUGUGCUAAUACCGCAUACGAUCUAUGGAUGAAAGCGGGGGACCGUAAGGCCUCGCGCGAUUGGAGCGGCCGAUGUCAGAUUAGGUAGUUGGUGGGGUAAAGGCUCACCAAGCCAACGAUCUGUAGCUGGUCUGAGAGGACGACCAGCCAGACUGGGACUGAGACACGGCCCAGACUCCUACGGGAGGCAGCAGUGGGGAAGUUUGGACAAUGGGCGCAAGCCUGAUCCAGCAAUGCCGCGUGCAGGAAGAAGGCCUUCGGGUUGUAAACUGCUUUUGUACGGAACGAAAAGGUUUGGGUUAAUACCCUGGGCCGAUGACGGUACCGUAAGAAUAAGCACCGGCUAACUACGUGCCAGCCGCCGCAGUAAUAC